GAUGAACGCUGGCGGCGUGCUUAACACAUGCAAGUCGAACGAAGCAUUUAAGACAGAUUACUUCGGUUUGAAGUCUUUUAUGACUGAGUGGCGGACGGGUGAGUAACGCGUGGGUAACCUGCCUCAUACAGGGGGAUAGCAGCUGGAAACGGCUGGUAAUACCGCAUAAGCGCACAGUACCACAUGGUACAGUGUGAAAACCUCCGGUGGUAUGCGAUGGACCCGCGCCUGAUUAGCUUGUUGGCGGGUUAACGGCCCACCAAGGCGACGAUAAGUAGACUAGCUGUGAGGCUGAGCCGCCACAUUGGGACUGGGACACGGUCCAGACUCCUACGGGAGGGAGCAGAGGGGAAUAGUGCACAACGGAGGAAACGCUGAUGCAGCUACGCCGCGAGAGUGAAGAAGUAGUGCGCUAUGUAAAGCGCUAUCAGCAGGGAAGAUAGUGACGGUACCUGACUAAGAAGCUCCGGCUAAAUACGUG
rnacentral:rRNA from 1 species